rnacentral:rRNA from 1 species
UACGUAGGGUGCAAGCGUUGUCCGGAAUUAUUGGGCGUAAAGAGCUCGUAGGCGGUUUGUCGCGUCGAAUGUGAAAACCCGGGGCUCAACCCCGGGCCUGCAUUCGAUACGGGCAGACUAGAGUUCGGUAGGGGAGUCUGGAAUUCCUGGUGUAGCGGUGAAAUGCGCAGAUAUCAGGAGGAACACCGGUGGCGAAGGCGGGACUCUGGGCCGAUACUGACGCCGAGGAGCGAAAGCGUGGGGAGCAAACAGG